CCUACGGGUGGCAGCAGUGGGGAAUAUUGGACAAUGGGCGAAAGCCUGAUCCAGCCAUGCCGCGUGUGUGAAGAAGGCCUUCGGGUUGUAAAGCACUUUCAGUGGGGAAGAAAGCCUUGGGGCUAAUACCCUCGAGGAAGGACAUCACCCACACAAGAAGCACCGGCUAACUCCGCGCCAGCAGCCGCGGUAAUACGGAGGGUGCGAGCGUUAAUCGGAAUUACUGGGCGUAAAGCGCGCGUAGGCGGUCUGAUAAGCCGGUUGUGAAAGCCCCGGGCUCAACCUGGGAACGGCAUCCGGAACUGUCAGGCUAGAGUGCAGGAGAGGAAGGUAGAAUUCCCGGUGUAGCGGUGAAAUGCGUAGAGAUCGGGAGGAAUACCAGUGGCGAAGGUGGCCUUCUGGACUGACACUGACGCUGAGGUGCGAAAGCGUGGGUAGCAAACAGGAUUAGAUACCCUUGUAGUC
rnacentral:rRNA from 1 species